rnacentral:rRNA from 1 species
CGGACCGGCGCACGGGUGAGUAACACGUAUGCAACCUGCCCUCCGCAGGGGGAUAACCCGGAGAAAUCCGGACUAAUACCGCGUGGUACAUCUGUGGGGCAUCCCACGGGUGUUAAAAGGAAGCGAUUCCGGCGGAGGAUGGGCAUGCGGCGCAUUAGCUAGUUGGCGGGGUAACGGCCCACCAAGGCGACGAUGCGUAGGGGUUCUGAGAGGAAGGUCCCUCACACUGGUACUGAGACACGGACCAGACUCCUACGGGAGGCAGCAG